UACGGAGGGUGCAAGCGUUGUUCGGAAUUACUGGGCGUAAAGCGCGUGUAGGUGGCUUUUUAUGUCGGGUGUGAAAUCCCUGGGCCUAACCCAGGAAGUGUGCCUGAAACUGGAAAGCUUGAGUACGAUAGAGGAGGAUGGAAUUCCUAGUGUAGAGGUGAAAUUCGUAGAUAUUAGGAAGAACACCGGUGGCGAAAGCGGUUCUCUGGAUCGAUACUGACACUGAGACGCGAAAGCGUGGGGAGCAAACAGGAUUAGAUACCCUGGUAGUCCACGCCGUAAACGAUGGAUACUAGUUGUUGGAAGCUUAUAAACUUUCAGUGACGACGCUAACGCAUUAAGUAUCCCGCCUGGGGAGUACGGCCGCAAGGUUAAA
rnacentral:rRNA from 1 species